rnacentral:rRNA from 1 species
UGCCAGCCGCCGCGGUAAAACGUAGGGGGCAAGCGUUAUCCGGAUUUACUGGGCGUAAAGCGCACGCAGGCGGUUUGGUAAGUUAGUUGUGAAAGCUCCCGGCUCAACUGGGAGAGUGCGACUGAUACUGCCAGACUUGAGAAUGGUAGAGGAGAGCAGAAUUCCUGGUGUAGUGGUGGAAUGCGUAGAGAUCAGGAGGAAUGCCAGUGGCGAAAGCGGCUCUCUGGGCCAAGUCUGACGCUGAGGUGCGAAAGCGUGGGUAGCGAACGGGAUUAGAUA